GGGGCCGGACCCGGACGUCCGAGAGCGGCUCAGCUUCGCUUUCUGUUCGCUCUGCUGGGCCCGGGGGGAUCGGGCUGUGCCCGGGGGGAUCGGGCUGGGCCCCCAUCGCAGCCCCACCGGGGGACGGACACGGCUCCGGGCACAGACCUCCCCAAACCCGCUGAUGUCUCCGCGCCUGCUCGGGGCGGUGAGCUGGGCUUCGGCGGCCGUGCUGGGACUGCUGACGGUGACCGUCCUUGUCCUGGUCCUGAUCCCGGCAAAGGAUGCUGUCCUCCCUGCUAGGAUCAAAUACGGUCUGGUGUUUGACGCUGGCUCCACACACACGUCCCUCUACAUCUACCGGUGGCCUGCAGACAAGGAGAACGGCACUGGCAUUGUCUCCCAGGUGGAGGCCUGCUCUGUGGCUGGACCCGGCAUCUCCAGCUACGCCGAUGAGCCUGCAGGGGCUGGCGCCAGCCUGAAGCCUUGCCUGGACAAGGCCAUGAAGAUCGUGCCGGCCGAGCAGCAGCGGGAGACCCCCACGUACCUGGGGGCCACGGCCGGCAUGCGGCUGCUGAGGGAGGAGAACGGCACCAAGGCGCAGCAGGUGUUGGCCGAGGUGGCCAAGGCCAUCGCGGAGUAUCCCGUGCAUUUCCGCGGAGCUCGGAUCCUGACGGGCAGCGAGGAGGGCUCCUUUGGCUGGAUCACUGUCAACUACCUGCUGGAGACACUGCUCAAGUUCUCGUUUGCAGAGCAAUGGGAACAUCCCCAGGACACCGAGGUUCUGGGAGCUCUGGACCUUGGCGGUGCCUCGACGCAGAUCACCUUCCAGCCCGGGGUCCCUGUGCAGGACAGGAACACGUCCGUGUUCUUCCGCCUCUACGGCACCAACUACUCCCUGUACAGCCACAGCUACCUGUGCUACGGGCAGAGCCAGGCCCUGAAGAUGCUGCUGGCAGCUCUGCACCAGGCCAGCUCGAGUGCCCAGAUCUCCCACCCCUGCUACCCGCGGGGGUACCGGGAGAGCCUCACUGUGGCAGAGCUGUACGACAGCCCCUGUGUGCGUGCACCGAGCUCAGCCAGCCCUGGCCUGGUCCUGACGGUGACAGGGACAGGGGAGCCAGGCGCGUGUGGCACGGCCAUCCAGAGUCUCUUCAACUUCAGCUGCGGGGCAGAGCGGCCGUGCGGGUUCAAUGGGGUGUAUCAGCCCCCCGUGCGGGGACAGUUCUUUGCCUUCUCAGGGUUUUAUCACAGCCUUCACUUUGUGAACCUGACAGGAGGGCAGUCCCUGAGCCUGGUCAAUGACACCAUCAGGCAGAUCUGCAGCAGCAGCUGGGAACAGGUGCAGGAGUUGUUCCCCACGGCGAGCAGGACCCAGCUCCGUGACGCCUGCACAGCCAGCUCCUACACCCUCACCCUUCUCCUGCAAGGCUACAAAUUCAACACCACCACAUGGCCCAACAUCCACUUCACCCAGCAGGUUGCUGGCACAGACGUGGGCUGGACUCUGGGCUACAUGCUCAACCUCACCAACAUGAUCCCCUCAGAGCCUCCUGCAGCAGUCACAGAGCUCCCGAGAAGCAGCUGGGUAGCAGCCUCAGUUCUGCUGGCCAUCAUGCUCAUCCUCACCUUCUGCCUGCUCACAGCCACGCGCUGCCAGAGAAAUUCCUCCGGCUAUGAGCAGCUGUAGCAGCGCAGCCUCCACCGGUCCUGCUGCCACAUCUCUGCCAGGAGCUGCUUCCAGGAGUCACCCCUGUGUGCCCACAGGCCACAGACCUGUCCUGGGGGGCUCUGAGUGCUGGCUUGGUGAGCUGGAGCUGGCACAGCUGUGAAACAGCCUCCUCACAGCCCUGUGCUCUCCGGUUCUCUUUCCCUGCCCUGCUGGUUGGAGAUGCUCCAGGAGGGAGGGCUCGGCCACACGGGGCAGGGGCUCAGCGCUGGGGAGCCCUGUGAGGGGGGGAUGGCACAGCCCACUCCUCUCCUGUGUGAGGUUCCUCUCCUCCCCAGCUGCACCCCGUGCUCCCUGCCUGGCAGACAGCUCAUCCUCCCUCUCCAACACGGGGUGACUUGGGAACGCUGCUGGGACACGGCUGAGGCAGCUCCCAGGGCCCCCCUUACAUUUCUGGGGAGUCCCACUGGCAGCCAAAUGAUGGAUGAGUUGAGACUCCUCCUCUGAGAGGGAAAAGGCCUCGUGUCUGUGUUGGCUCCACUCUGAGGUCCAGCACCAGAGUCUCCAAGGACACCUCCCAUGGAUUCAUUGUCUCUCCCCUGAGUCCAGAAAGCUCCAAAAGCCGACCCUGUCUCAAGCUGUGCCACUCAGAAAUCCUGGUGAAUAAUCUGAUCUUUUCAAGCUCUGUCUGUCUCAAGUCUCAAGCUUUCUCAAGCUCUGUCUCAAGCUGUGCCACUCAGAAGUCCUGGUGAAUAAUCUGAUCUUUUCCUGGGAAAAGCAGCAUGAGGAAAACACGGGGAGUGGGAGGAGAGAGGGGCUGUUUGUCCCAGGGCCUGGCAGAGCCAUGGUGGGAUCACAGGGAUGUUCCAGGUGCCCACCUGGCGGGAGGGAUCGGCAGAGAGCAGGGGAAGAGGAGCAGAGAGCAGGGGAAGCUGCAGAAGCCCGGGUGUGAGGCACUGCAGCAGGGCAGGGAGGAUGAGUUCCACAGGCUGUGAGGAGGAGCAGCUCACCUGCUGGAGCCCUGCCCCAGCUCACCCAGCCUGUGCCCCCGGGGACUCCUCAGAGCUGCCUCUGCCUCCUCCAAACACACCUUGGACUUGUCUCUUGUGGCCUUUGGAAGUCGAUACUGCCGGAAAAGCUUUCCUCCAUUAUUUUCUCUCAUCAGCCUUAGGCAAAACUCUUGUUUGUCUUGCAGGUGAAUAUUCAUGGCCAGUUUGGCAUUGCCAUUAUUUUCAGCCAGUUAGUUCCUCCUCAUUUGAAUGGAAUCCACAGCGUUUAACCCUUGACACUCUGCUUUUCUGUGCUGACUCACCCCCAUUUCUGUUUCCUCUUUGCUCUCCCCAGCCUCAACAUUCCCAUUACAAGCUCUCUACAAGGUGUGUAGGAGAUGAGUGACAUUUGCGGUGCCUCGGAACAACUUUUACUCCAGCGAGAUGGAAACUCACAGCAGAGGGGAGGAUUGCCCUGCCAGGGGGCUCAUGGGGUCCCUGAACACCCUGGGGAGAGAGGAGAGGAGAGGAGA